AGCCUCCAGGUUAGUUGUAGCUAACAGUUAGCACAGCUACGCAGAACAAAACCCACCUUAAAGGUUAGCCUGAGGAGGCUAGCUAGGCUAGUGUUCUGUGGAUCCACCUGGAAGUGCAAUAAUCCUUCUGAAGCAACGAAGCUCAGUGGAAACUCUCAUUUUUACUGGUGACCAGUGGAACCUUUGCUCUCCACGCUGCCACGGCUCUUUAAUUAAAAUUAGCAGCGCCGCAGGUUCUCCUGCAGCUCGGCUCCACCACCCAGGAACCCUCUCCUACCUUUCUCACCGAUGGGCUAAUUAAAUCUUGCCACACUUUAAUUCCUGAGAUGUUUGUUGGAAUCACAUCACUGGGAAUGUCAACGCUCCACAUGUGUCCUUGUUCAGGACCUCGCGUGCGAUCGUGCGCUGCCUUUAUCAGAUUUGUGCUCCCGCCAUCGACAGAGAGGAAAAAAACAUCCAUUCCAGAUGCUUUCACACAGUCACGCACUGAAAUAAUGGAAUGAAAUCAGCCUCAAAGCUGACCACUUCACUCCCUCAGGGCAGCAGGUCAAAGGUCGACCAGGUGUGACCAAGGUUUAAACUGUAGCAUCAAAGCUCAAAAGAUCCAAAAACAGAUUUACUACCUUUGCGAACAUCUCCUCGUCGUUAAUUGUUCGCAACUGAAAUAUUCACAAUUUCAACCUUUGCUCUUUCACACAACAGGUCCUUUGGAGGAGCUUAAGUUCUGAAGGUUCUUCAAGGUUCCUGAAGGUUCUUCAAGGUUCCUGAAGGUUAAAGUUGCUGCAGUUUAGCUGAAAAGCUAAAAAGUUGGAUUUACACGACCUGGAUGGAUGAGAACCAGCAUGGUCAAAAAGGUUCUUUCUGCUGAGGGUUCUGUCCUCAGAAGCAUCCAGCAGCAGGAGAAAGGAGACUUCCGUUGCACCGACGUUCCCAGAAGCCUCCUACAAACAGCUCCAGUUUUAGAUUUACUGUAUACAUUAAUUUUACUGCUAAUGACAAUUUUAGCCUGAACACGAUCAGAUCCAGCAUUUGCUUACUGAUAAAGUUUAAAUUCAAAUUGAGUUAUUUAGUUAGUGGGUGAAAUUUCGAAGGGGUGGAGCUUUGUUAGAACAAAAAUAAAAAACACAACCUUGAAUCAAAGGUUGUAAAUAAACAACAACAUGCUUCAAAACAGCGUUUCGUUGUUGCUGAAAAUGGCCUUUUACUGUCACCCGCGAUGCGUUUAUGGUCAUCCGGUAAACAGUAG
rnacentral:lncRNA from 1 species